GACGAACGCUGGCGGCGUGCCUAAUACAUGCAAGUAGAACGCACAGUUUAUACCGUAGCUUGCUACACCAUAGACUGUGAGUUGCGAACGGGUGAGUAACGCGUAGGUAACCUGCCUGGUAGCGGGGGAUAACUAUUGGAAACGAUAGCUAAUACCGCAUAAUAUUAAUUAUUGCAUGAUAAUUAAUUGAAAGGUGCAAUUGCACCACUACCAGAUGGACCUGCGUUGUAUUAGCUAGUAGGUGAGGUAACGGCUCACCUAGGCGACGAUACAUAGCCGACCUGAGGGGGUGAUCGGCCACACUGGGACUGAGACACGGCCCAGACUCCUACGGGAGGCAGCAGUAGGGAAUCUUCGGCAAUGGACGAAAGUCUGACCGAGCAACGCCGCGUGAGUGAAGAAGGUUUUCGGAUCGUAAAGCUCUGUUGUAAGAGAAGAACGGGUGUGAGAGUGGAAAGUUCACACUGUGACGGUAUCUUACCAGAAAGGGACGGCUAACUACGUG
rnacentral:rRNA from 1 species